rnacentral:rRNA from 1 species
UGAGGAACAUGACCUUCGGCGGGGGAUAGCCGGCCCAACGGCCGGGUAAUACCGCGUACGACCACAUGGGGACAUCCCUGAGUGGUGAAAGCAGCAAUGCGCCGAUGGAGUGCCUCGCGGCCUAUCAGCUAGUUGGGUGGGGUAACGCCUACCAAGGCAACGACGGGUAGCCGGUCUGAGAGGAUGGCCAGCCACAUUGGGACUGAGACACGGUCCAGACUCCGUACGGGAGGNAGCG